rnacentral:rRNA from 1 species
CCUACGGGUGGCAGCAGUGAGGAAUAUUGGGCAAUGGGCGGAAGCCUGAACCAGCCAAGCAGCGUGCAGGAUGAAGGCCCUCCGGUUUGUAAACUGCUUUUAUACGGGAAUAACGCGCCUUACGUGUAGGGCUUUGCAUGUACCGUAUGAAUAAGGACCGGCUAAUUCCGUGCCAGCCCCCGCGGUAAUAUGGUAGGUCCGGGCGUUAUCCGGAUUUAUUGGGUUUAAAGGGAGCGUAGGCUGCAUGGCAAGCGUGCUGUGAAAUGUCCGGGCUCAACCCGGGGCUUGCAGCGGGGACUGGCGAGCUUGAGUGCGCGGGAGGCAGGCGGAAUUCGAGGUGUAGCGGUGAAAUGCGUAGAUA